GACGAACGCUGGCGGCGUGCUUAACACAUGCAAGUCGAACGGAAAGGCCCUGCUUUUGUGGGGUGCUCGAGUGGCGAACGGGUGAGUAACACGUGAGUAACCCGCCCUUGACUUUGGAAUAACUUCAGGAAACUGGGGCUAAUACCGGAUAGGAGCUCCUGCUGCACGGUGGGGGUUGGAAAGUUUCGGCGGUUGGGGAUGGACUCGCGGCUUAUCAGCUUGUUGGUGGGGUAGUGGCUUACCAAGGCUUUGAAGGGUAGCCGGCCUGAGAGGGGGACCGGCCACAUUGGGACUGAGAGACGGCGCAGACUCCUACGGGAGGCAGCAGUGGGGAAUAUGGCACAAUGGGCGGAAGCCUGAUGCAGCAACGCCGCGUGCGGGAUGACGGCCUUCGGGUGGUAAACCGCUUUCGCCUGUGACGAAGCGUGAGUGACGGUAAUGGGUAAAGAAGCACCGGCUAACUACGUG
rnacentral:rRNA from 1 species